UACAGAGGUCUCAAGCGUUGUUCGGAUUCAUUGGGCGUAAAGGGUGCGUAGGUGGCGGGGUUAGUCAGGUGUGAAAUCUCGGGGCUCAACCCCGAAACUGCACUUGAUACUGCCUUGCUAGAGUACUGGAGAGGAGAUUGGAAUUUACGGUGUAGCAGUGAAAUGCGUAGAUAUCGUAAGGAAGACCAGUGGCGAAGGCGAAUCUCUGGACAGUUACUGACACUGAGGCACGAAGGCCAGGGGAGCAAACCGGG
rnacentral:rRNA from 1 species